UCGGUGCGUUCGGUCGCGGAAAUUGUCCGGUGCUCUGGAACAGUACUGUAGUGCGGUGCCCCUAGUAAGCUCCCAGGAUUAUAACCGAACAAUAGGAUUACUUUGAAGGAUACUUCCUGUUGGAUGUUGAAAUUCACAUUUGGCUUUAAUACGGAUACACGUGCAAAGCAUUACAGAUCUCGGAAGAAGGCAAUUCGAAGCCCAUUAUUGAAUGCUGUGGUGAUACAUCAUCCUGAAGAGGACGUGCUCCGUUGCUGUGUGGGGAAUACGUAGAAAUGCCAAUAGCUCAAGUUCAAUCAGACCGUUAAGAGAGAAAAAAAAAUCAAUUACCAUUUUCUCGUAUCCAUCGACAAGACGCUGCAGCAGUGCAUCGAUGCUCGGAAUGUGUCAGUGAAUGUGUGUGUCUAUGCGAAUGUUAACCUGAAGAAACACAAGAGAGAAAACCAGUGUGGAUGAAUCCUUCCGGGAACACAACAGUACUUGGAAUACCACAAUAAAAUUGCAUCACCGAAGAUUGCGGAGAAAUAGAGUGCUUUACCGUGUCUCAUUGAUGAAGCUUGGCACGUUACGAGCCUGAGAAAACCGCUUCCGAACAAUGACCGAAUCCUCGUUCGUAUACGGCGUGGAGUUGAGAUCACCUCCACCGACGACCGGACCGAACAGCCAGCUUACCCAGUACGACCGUUUCCUCAAGACGAAAACUAUGACCGAACAUCUGCUGCUGGGCCACCAUUACCACUACGAAGACGGCCCAACCCAACUACCCUUUAACAUGGCCGAACUGUCAUCCCUGUUGGCCGGCGAUGGGGAAAAUGUUUACACGACUUCCCACAUCGCCGCAACUACCACCACCAACCUGACGUCCUCGCUAGGCCAAAUACGCAACAUCAUGGCCGAGCUGUCCCUUCGGAGUGGAUCCAGUGCCGUGGUUACGGUGGCCACCACCACCACCGGAGCGAACUCGACUCCCACCGAGGGGAGCAGCCCCAUUGCAACGUCGGCGGGCAGCCGGGGCGGAGGAGGCGAUUCAACGUUCCAAAACAAUCUCAUCAUUCCGCUCUAUGCGGUCAUCUUUCUGUUCUCGGUGGUAGGCAAUCUGCUGGUGAUCCUGACGCUGGCCCAGAACAAGCGGAUGCGGACCGUCACCAAUGUUUAUCUGCUUAAUUUGGCCAUCUCGGAUCUUCUGCUGGGGGUGUUCUGCAUGCCGUUCACUCUGGUCGGGCAGGUAUUGCGGAAGUUCAUCUUCGGCAGCCUCAUGUGCAAGCUCAUACCGUACUUUCAAGCCGUUUCCGUUUCGGUGGCCGUCUGGACCUUGGUGGCCAUCUCGUUGGAGCGCUACUUUGCCAUCUGCCGGCCGCUUUCGUCCCGCCGCUGGCAGACCCAGUUCCACGCGUACAAAAUGAUCGCCCUGGUGUGGCUGGUAAGCUUCCUGGUCAACUCGCCCCUGUGCUACAUCCAACGGUUGCAGCCGGUGCAUCGGCUGCGUUCGGCGACAUCGACGGCAAACGGUUUGAGCAAUGUCAUUGCCAUCGGAACCGAUAGCACCCAGCCGAUGAAGUGCCGCGAGAUGUGGCCGGACAAGUCGUACGAACGGGCCUAUGUGCUGUUCCUGGACGCGGGGCUGCUGUGCUUUCCGCUGAUAACCAUGGGAUUUUCCUACUCGAUGAUUGUGUCCAAGCUGUGGCGUGGCCUGAGGCGAGAGAUACGCCACUCGACUCAUCAGAAGCAUCAACUGCAAAUCACCAACGCGACAUCCAUCUCACUGGAUGCGCUUUCAACAAAUAAAAUUCUCCCGUCUCGAGCGCAGGACAACAGUUACUAUCUACUGUCGUCGUCGCCGUCCACGGCUGGAUCCGCACCAACGACGUCAACCAAGCGUACUCCAGUCAACUCCGGUGGCCCAAGCUUCAACAACAACAACAAUUACUUCUGCUCCAGCUACGGUACCGCUGCCAAUAAUGGGCUGCACUACGGUCGGGGACCACCGGACACCAGCGGAGGAAGUACGUCCACUGCUGGCAAGCAGCGUUGUCGGACCAGAUUUGGAAUGCUGAAGCACUUCAUGGAGAGCCGCCGCCCGAAAUGCAACACCAACCCGAUAAUCACGCUCAAUUCCGCCACCCAAUUCAUCGCACCGGCCGGAACCGGAUCAUCCGUCAACAACAGUGCCGGAUGUGGCAAUAAGCUGUACAGUUUUAUGCCUCCGCCCUCAUCCGCUACCCCACUCGCCACACCAAUGUCGGAAACGGCCUUCCACGAUUGCCGGAUUACGGCGCCAACGGUCGCUUCGUCCUGCAAUGGUCAGCCUCCGAAGGGUGCCACCGACGCACUAUCGACGGCUUCCACCAUGGCAAUGGUUGGUGCUCCCCUAACCAGUUCGGAUCCAUCGGUCCUGUCAAUACCGGCUACGCCGUCCUUCACCCGCCACGCCAUCCGUUCCAACUACAUGGACAAAAGCAUCGAGGCCAAGAAGAAGGUCAUCCGGAUGCUCUUUGUUAUCAUUGUGGAGUUCUUCGUUUGCUGGGCGCCGUUGCAUAUACUCAAUACGGUGUAUUUGUACUCGCCGGCCUUCGUGUACCAGUACGUCAGCAGUAAUGGGAUUGCGCUAGUACAGCUGAUGGCCUACAUCAGCUCCUGCUGCAAUCCCAUUACCUACUGCUUCAUGAACCGUCGCUUCCGGCAGGCGUUCCUCAACAUCUUCGGCUGCUAUCGGCACCGCAUAUUCCUGUGCUUGUGCUGUUGCUUCCGUUGCGGAGCGGACGAUGACCAGAUGGACGGGGAAUCCAAGUCGGCCGGAUCGAGGGCCAACCCCAACAAUACGGGUGGAGCAGGAACCGGGGCAAACAAUUCCGACAUAUCCGGAAACGAUUCGCUGGCCUACGCCGGUCGCAGCAUCGUUCAGCGCUCCGAGAUCAUGGUUCUGGAAUCCGAGGAUCGGGUUUAGCAACGGCUCCGACCACGUGACAAGUUCCGUUUCGAUCGUCAACUCGAUCAGCUCCAAUCGGAUCGCCCAUCAAGUGACGCAGAUCAUCGAAACCGACCCCGAGGAUGAAACGUUUCGUUUUCGGAUCACGUGGUCGAAGUCAGCUUCCUCUGCUAGCCAGCCCAAGACUGCUAACGGUUGUGAUAGCGAGCGGUACUCGUAAGAAGCGCCAACCAGGACACCACAAACCACAAUAACGCAAAUUUGGCUCAAAUGUGUUCGUACCCUCGUCUCACUCUCCCUUGUGUUUAUUGUUACCCUCCACUACUCUGGUUACGAUACGAUCACCAAAACCGUUGACUGCAUUUGGUGUUUUACGGCUAGUUCUACAAAGGUUUUCUUCUUCGUGUUUUAGGAUCAAUGGCAAAUUGAAAUAAGAAAACAGUUUUUUUUGUCUCAAAACUCUGUUGGUAGAUUCUUUGCAGAUUUACCUAUGUGUGCGAUGUGUGCGUGUGCGUAUAUUGUGAUGUACUUUUGAAACCCGCAAAUGCAAUGAAAAAUAAUGAAUAAAAUCUAAUGUGAUAAUGACUGUUGACAAACAAUA